UCCCUGGUGGUCUAGUGGUUAGGACUCAGCGCUUUCACUGCUGCGACUCAGGUUCAAUCCCUUGUCUGGAAC
rnacentral:tRNA from 1 species